CCACAUAGCAAGCACACUCGGGCCGAUUCUGGCUGAAAUGCGGCACUGUCGGCUCAGUCACGACGUCGGUGAGAAGAUAAUGGGCCAGAGCCGCGCCGACUCUACAAAACACUUCUGGCUGACAGACGCUUUUUCUCUCUGGGCCGAUCUCGGCUGAAAGCUGUUGUACGUGCGGCAGGUCCACACUCGGUGUAGUUGUGUGUCUCUACCUUCGGCCCGAGCUGGUUUUGUCUCCGGCGGCCGCUGCUAGAAUGAAGAUCCGCCUGAGAGAGAGAUUUGGCGGUUAAUCCUGAGGAGAUUUCGGCGGGCACAGGUCUCAAGAGGAAUACUUCAGCUGCAAAAAGAAAUUCUGAGCUGCUGCAUGAACAUUCAUCAAACAUAUAAGGCUGCAAUUUGGAAAAAAACUUUCAAGCUAAUGCUGCUGAAAUGGAGGUCAAGGGGACUAUGAAGAGGUGGCUUCCAGCUGAUCAAAAGUUACAAUAAUCAGCUGAUCCAGUCGGUAUCCAGACCAGACGGUGGACCUGCACCAGGAGUGACCACAACACAUCCCUGACUGUCAGCGGAGACCAUGUCAGCUAGAUGACAGAUCCCUGUGAAGACCUCACUGAUGGCCUCAGCACAGAUCCUCAGCAAAGACUACGAGAACCAGACAAGCCCUCUGCACAGACCCUUUUACCAGCUUCACCUGCUGGCGUGAUGUUUCCUCAUGCAGAAGAAGUUGGAUGAAAUAUUCUGAAUGAUAUCAAUCCACAAUCUGACUUGUGAUGCAGCCUGGAAUAAUCACACCACGUUCAUUCGUUUGGCCAGACGAGACUGUUUCCUGACUGAGCCGGGUCUUGUUUGGGUUUGGGUUCCUUGUCACUGUUGCCUUUUGUCUUGCUUGGUUGAAGACACCUAAUAUUCAGCAAUAUUAUUGACUUGACUGCACUGACACCAUUUGAUAAGAACUGAACUGAAUUAUGACACACAAUGUUUUAUAU